CCUUCGGGUAUUGAGGAUGGCGGACGGGUGAGUAACGCGUAAGGAACUUGCCUCUUGGUCUGGGACAACUGUUGGAAACGACAGCUAAUACCGGAUAUUAUGAGAUUCUCGCAUGGGAAACUUAUGAAAGCUAUAUGCGCCAAGAGAGAGCCUUGCGUUCCAUUAGCUAGUUGGUGGGGUAACGGCCCACCAAGGCGACGAUGGAUAGCCGGCCUGAGAGGGUGAACGGCCACAAGGGGACUGAGACACGGCCCUUACUCCUACGGGAGGCAGCAGUGGGGAAUAUUGGACAAUGGGCCACAAGCCUGAUCCAGCAAUUCUGUGUGCACGAUGAAGGUCUUCGGAUUGUAAAGUGCUUUCAGUUGGGAAGAAGAAAGUGACGGUACCAACAGAAGAAGCGACGGCUAAAUACGUGCCAGCAGCCGCGGUAAUACGUAUGUCGCAAGCGUUAUCCGGAUUUAUUGGGCGUAAAGCGCGUCUAGGCGGAAAAAUAAGUCUGAUGUUAAAAUGCGGGGCUCAACUCCGUAUUGCGUUGGAAACUGUUUUUCUAGAGUACUGGAGAGGUGGGCGGAACUACAAGUGUAGAGGUGAAAUUCGUAGAUAUUUGUAGGAAUGCCGAUGGAGAAGUCAGCUCACUGGACAGAUACUGACGCUAAAGCGCGAAAGCGUGGGGAGCAAACAGGAUUAGAUACCCUGGUAGUCCACGCCGUAAACGAUGA
rnacentral:rRNA from 1 species